UCAGUUACAUAGUCAAACAUUGUUUAAAUGGAAAUUCUAUAUAGAUUUCUUAGUGAAUUUCAAAACAAAAACUUUAAGGAUUUGGUGUAAAUUAUUUAAACAGCACACGCAUCAAUUCCCAAUAAUUGAGAAUUUGAAUAUUGGCAAAGAGAUAAAAAGUUAUAAGUUACAAUGUCUUCUCAAAUUUCCUUCCAGAAUCAGAGUAGAUUCUCCUGCAAGUAAUGGCAGCUCAUGUGUCGAUUGUACGUUACAAGGUCACAAUCAUCUCCUUAAGUGGCUUGCAUGUGAACUGUACUACUAGUUUUCCGGUUUGGGUCAGACAAAUUGGGCCCGUUCCACUGUGUUCUCACAUGCUCAUCAGUCCAUAGCCAUAGCUCUACUGAUUUUUUUUACCAAACCAUAGCUCCACUGAACAAGUCAUAUUAGGAUGCUGUUCAGAUGGUCGGCGUCUAAACUAGCGACACGAAUGCUUCAGAUUUCAGUUGGGACUCUCACAGAAGCUUUGAGGUUCCUCAUGGGUGGGCCGAAUAACAUGGGCUUAUGUUUGAAGUCUAUGUGAGUCGAUCAUGUCCCAUUGAAUUGUUUUAGGGCUUUGUGGGAAAGAUUUUGAUCUUAUUCUGUCGGGCUUAGUUCUCCUUGGAAAAAAAAAAUCCUUAUCAACAACAAAUUAAUAACAUGUGAAUUAUAGAUAAUAUGAUUGUUUUUUUUUUAAAUACAAAAAAUGAGUUAUCUAUUUAUUCUGAAAUAUUCAUUUUAGCUGUGCUCAUAUUUUUUUUUAAUAAAAAAUAAAUUUAUAAUGUCGUAACAGAAUACCACAUGUUCAAAAUUUAAAAAGUUUUGGAUUCUCUUCAAAAAGAUUUUCAAAUCCUGUCCAUAUUUUGUAAAGAUAAUGUGACUUGAAUCUUUUAUUUUCCACAUCAUUCAACUAUUGUGAAAAUUAUAUAAAAAAAAAAAUUCUAUUAUGUUUUUUUAAUUAAUUAGCAUACUAAAGUUAAUCAAAUUAUUAUUUUCUAUUAUGAAAAUAUAAUAAAUUUAUAAACUUUUAACUUAAUAAUAGUAUAGCCUAUUUAAAAUCAUAAAAAUAUGAAAUUCCAGAGCCAAAUGAGUAAUAUACAUACACAUAAUAUAAAAGCAAGUUGAGAUUUGUACACAAAUAAUGAAGAGUGGGAUAUGAUCAAAUUGUGCAGAAAGGAGAAAGUUUAGUGGACGUAAGCCUAAUUUUAAAAAAAGAAAUGAGAAUAUGAAAGAUUAAAAGGAAAGGGAGGCAUAUUGAGUUGAUAAGUGUUUGGACCACGUCGUAAAGUGUAAUAAUCUUUAUGCUCAAAAUAAAUUUGUGUGGUCCUGUCUCUCUCUCUCUCUCUCUCUCCAUUGACUGCUUAUUACUACUGCAAAUCAAUGGUUUCUUUCAACUUUGAUCUGUGUUUAUUACAUGGCUCCUUUCCUUUUCUUACCAACACUGGGUAAGAAUUUAAAGCUUUAUACUUUAUUUUCUUGUCAUAAAUUUCAAGUGGCUUUGGCUUUCCUAUUAGAAUGGCAUCUUGCAUUUUCAUGUCCUUCUCUUCCCUACAAUUCUACGAUUUCCUUUUUGUUUUUCCUUAAAAAAUCUAUUAUAAAAUUAAGGGGAAGUACUAAAAUAUGCAUGUGAAGAGAUUGAAGAUAAGAAAGCAAAUAGGUUGUUAGCAACAAUUUGAAUGUGUAGAAAACAAGGAAAAAUACAAGAAGAUGAAACCUGCAGACAGAAGCACAAGAUGACACAUGACUUAAUGUAUAGCAUUGAUGCAAAAGUUCACCCACAAAUUGAGAUUUAUGAAAUGGGUUAAUGUUGAAAUGAGAUCCUUUCACCACUUAUUAGGGUUAUAUCACUGAGGUUAUGGAAAUUGGACACAACCCAUGGUCUGCAAACUCAGGAACUAGCUGCGGCUGCAACUUCUCUUGGACUUGAUAUGAAAAGGGAGGAUUAUCACAAAGGUACUUUUAAAGAAAGCACCAACUAAUAAGGAAAGCCUACCAUUUGUUUUAAUCUUUUGGGUUAAGUUUAGCUUUAGGGUUCUAUCAUAUCAGUUUCUACUUUUAGCUUAAGCAUUAUUACAAACAGUUUCAGACAGUUGAAAAAUUUUGAAAUUUUAGAUUAGAUGCAAGUAGCAAGAGAAAAACAUUUUGAUGAAGUGCCCAGGUGCAGACACAAGAUAAGAUUGUGGUGCAGAGUAGUAGAUCCAUGCCAAAGGGAUGCUACGGAAUCCAUUUGUGCUGUAGAGUGUGGACCACACAUACAUACAUAAAGCUCCACACACGCAAUUAAUAAUUGUAAUUAGAAAGUUAAUCCAGACUCUAAUGAAGUAUUUAGUUGAGGUGUUAAUCCUCCAAAGUGAGAUUGCGUAGGGAGAAUCUUGGGUAAUCAAUUAUAUUUUUCAGAAUUUAACAAAGAUUUGAAGAUAAGAAGUUAUUUUCCUCGAGUUCCUUCAUAUAAAAAAAAAACAUUGAUAAAAAGAAUAAAUAAUAAAAAUAAAUUAAAUAUUAUAAAAUAAAAUGAAUAAUCUUAAUAAAAUUUUAAAGUAAAUAAGCUUUCUGCAAACAUUUACAAAAUCAACAUACUAACAAAAUACAAAAUUUAAAAUAUCUUCAUCAAGAAAAACCUAAUUACCCACCAUUAAUGAAUAAUUGGCAUCUGAUACUGUUUAUUGAUUAUUUGGGUUGGUAGUCCAUGUUCCAAGUUGUAGGUAGUCUUCUUAAGGCUACCCACCCCAUGCUUUUAUACAGU
rnacentral:lncRNA from 1 species